rnacentral:rRNA from 1 species
GAUGAACGCUGGCGGCGUGCCUAAUACAUGCAAGUCGAGCGAACAGACGAGGAGCUUGCUCCUCUGACGUUAGCGGCGGACGGGUGAGUAACACGUGGAUAACCUACCUAUAAGACUGGGAUAACUUCGGGAAACCGGAGCUAAUACCGGAUAAUAUAUUGAACCGCAUGGUUCAAUAGUGAAAGACGGUUUUGCUGUCACUUAUAGAUGGAUCCGCGCCGCAUUAGCUAGUUGGUAAGGUAACGGCUUACCAAGGCAACGAUGCGUAGCCGACCUGAGAGGGUGAUCGGCCACACUGGAACUGAGACACGGUCCAGACUCCUACGGGAGGCAGCAGUAGGGAAUCUUCCGCAAUGGGCGAAAGCCUGACGGAGCAACGCCGCGUGAGUGAUGAUGGUCUGCGGAUCGUAAAACGCUGUUAUUAGGGAAGAACAAAUGUGUAAGUAACUAUGCACGUCUUGACGGUACCUAAUCAGAAAGCCACGGCUAACUACGU